AGAAUUUAUAGAAACUAACCUUGAAUUCAAAAAGAAUUCACAAACUAACCAUGAGCUACAGUAUCAUGUCUGUAAUAUGUCGGAAUGGCUGUGUAAUUACGUAUAUGUCCUUUGUAACACGCUUUUUUUUCGAAUUACAUGUGAUAACAUAAUAUAUCUAUUUUUAUCAUGUAUUUUUCUCGUACUACAUGUUAUUUAUAAAGAACACAUAGUAUUUAUCGAAAAAAACAUUAUAUUCAAUGUAAUAU
rnacentral:lncRNA from 1 species